rnacentral:lncRNA from 1 species
CCGGCAUCCAUAAACUUUCAUCCCACACCCGACUACGCUGUGAUUUUUAAGGAAGGAUCCAGCCGGAGCCCCGCUGCCGGGACCCGCCGCCUCGUCCCCCGGCCCCGCCGCGGCCCCCGCCAGCAGGCGGAGGAUGAGGCGGGUUUUUCCCGCUGCCGCCCGCCGCCCUCACUUCCGCGCCGCCCGCCUGCCCCGGCCCGACCCGGCCCUUCCCGCCGAGACCCGCCGCCGCCCGGCUGUGAGGAGGCGCGAGGCCCGGUCCCGCCCGGCCAGCGGGCAGGAGGCGGCACCGGGCGCGGUAACGCAGAGGGCAGUAGAUUUUCUCUUAAUGAAUUCUACCUUCUGGGCUGUCACCUCCCAGUGAUGCUCUGUGUUGUGAGAAGUUACCUGGAACCGAGCAUUAAGAUUGAAGUGAGAGGAAGCCAUUGUUCAAGGUUAUUUAAAAUUAUUUUUAAAGUGUUGUUAUAUUAGAUCGCCAUAGCCCAGGAUCUUGCAAAAAUUCCUCUCAUUUCUAUUGGUAGUAAACCAUAUGAAGAAAGUGAGAAGCCAGGAGCAGUGAUGUAUUUCCAAAUUAUUUAAAUCUUUAAAUUGGACUCUCCAGUGGUUAUUGUAACUAUUAGACUUUAAUGAAUAUGGGAAUUUGCCACCUUUUUCCUGUCAAGAAUGUCUGCACUCAGUAAUUACCUAGCUGUAGCAGGGGGUGAGAAGCACAUCAAAAAUUUCUGUAGAGCAUGCUCAGUAUGUUCUUUCUUACGUUUGUUUGAAAGUUGAUCAGUUUUAUCGGUCAGCGUAACCUCGGGUUCUUUGGUGUCCUGCCAGCGAGCCGUGAGCUUGGAAACAAGUGAAAACACUUCCCUGGAAGGAGUUCCUGACCUGGUGCUGCUCCUGCUGCGUGUCCCGUGCUGCUGCCACACGGCUGGGAGACAGAGUCUGGAAGCGGUGGAGAAGCUGUCCCGGGCAUAGCUGGAAGGUCUGCAACCAAACCACCUCCAAGCAAACGUGCCACCUCAACUUUCAGGUUCUUCAACCUUAUUUACUUUGUUUUAAGCAUUUGAAAUAAAUAGGAAAAGGAGGGGAUUUUCUUGUCGAGG